UAUGCCUACGGGAUGCAGCAGUGGGGAAUAUUGCACAAUGGGGGAAACCCUGAUGCAGCAACGUCGCGUGAAGGAAGACGGUUUUCGGAUUGUAAACUUCUGUUCUUAGUGAAGAAUAAUGACGGUAGCUAAGGAGCAAGCCACGGCUAACUACGUGCCAGCAGCCGCGGUAAUACGGAGGAUGCGAGCGUUAUCCGGAUUUAUUGGGUUUAAAGGGUGCGCAGGCGGGCUGUUAAGCCGGCGGUAAAAAUUCAGGGCUCAACCCUGUCGAGCCGU
rnacentral:rRNA from 1 species